rnacentral:rRNA from 1 species
GAUGAACGCUAGCGGCAGGCCUAAUACAUGCAAGUCGAACGGUGUCUUCGGACAUAGUGGCGCACGGGUGCGUAACACAUAUGCAACCUACCUUACAUUGGGGGAUAGCCUUUCGAAAGGGAGAUUAAUACCACAUAAGACAGUAGCUGGGCAUCCAGCAGCUGUUAAAGAUUUAUCGAUGUAAGCUGGGCAUGCGUCCAAUUAGCUAGUUGGUGAGGUAACGGCUCACCAAGGCAAUGAUUGGUAGGGGAACUGAGAGGUCAAUCCACCACACUGGGACUGAGAUACGGGCCAGACUCCUACGGGAGGCAGCAGUAGGGAAUAUUGGGCAAUGGACGCCAGUCUUACCCAGCCAUGCCGCGUGCAGGAUGAAGGCGUUAUGCGUUGUAAACUGCUUUUAUACAGGAAGAAACGACUCUUGCGAGAGGCAUUGACGGUACUGUAUGAAUAAGCACCGGCUAACUCCGUGCCAGCAGCCGCGGUAAAAC